CGUGCGUGAGCGUGCGCGUCCCCGCCGCCUCUGCCGGUGCUGCUCCCGCCGCCCUCUGCCGCCGCUGCCCCUGCCCCCGCCGCCGCAGCCGCCGCCGCUCGGGGUCCCCCAGACGCAGCCCCGGCUGAGGACCGCGUCGGCCGGCUGCCCAGCAGCGCCGCGGAGCUGAGGAGCGGAGCCGCGGAGCCGGCGGGAGGGCGGGCGGGCGGACAGAUUAGCCUACCAUGGCCGACCAGAGACAGCGCUCACUCUCUACCUCUGGGGAAUCACUAUACCAUGUUCUGGGGCUGGACAAGAAUGCAACCUCAGAUGACAUUAAAAAGUCCUAUCGGAAACUUGCCUUGAAAUAUCACCCUGACAAGAACCCCGAUAACCCAGAGGCUGCAGACAAGUUUAAGGAGAUCAACAACGCCCACGCUAUCCUGACGGACGCCACAAAAAGAAACAUCUACGACAAGUACGGCUCGCUGGGGCUGUACGUGGCCGAGCAGUUUGGGGAGGAGAACGUGAACACCUACUUCGUGCUGUCCAGCUGGUGGGCCAAGGUGCUGUUUAUCGUGUGCGGCGCGCUCAGCUGCUGCUAUUGCUGCUGCUGCCUCUGCUGCUGUUUCAACUGCUGCUGCGGCCGCUGCAAGCCGCGCGCGCCCGCCGGCCCCGACCCCGGCGUCUACGUGUCCCCCGAGGACCUGGAGGCGCAGCUGCAGUGCGACGAGCGGGGCGGGCACUGACACUGUGCGGGCGUGUCCGUGCCGGCGGCGGGGACUGCGGUGCGGACGUGGACGCCGGAGCGAGAAGCGGACGCGGCCCCGCGCGCCCGAGCAGAGGCCGCAGACUCGCCGGUCGUCGUACAGCCAGCAUCCGCCACAGAGACCACCCAGCUCACGGCCGACUCCCACCCCAGCUACCACACCGACGGGUUCAACUAAAUCCAGGAGCAGCUGCGACGGAGGACAGCUCGGCCCCCGGCCACUUCACCCUUAGAACCACGGAGCGUAGUCCCAGAGAUGGGGGGGGGCAGCUGCCCGCCCACCGGGGCCCUUCCCACCUCUGCGCCCGCCCACCCGUCGCCCCCACCACGUGAAGUGCGUCGCAUGCAGUAUUUAAAGCAGUUAGCUUCGGUCUUCUUCUUCCUCUUCUUCUGUUUUCUCCUUUUUUAAUAGCAUGUAUGGGGUUAUGUUCCACGUCUGUCUGUGUUGUGGACGUGCGGUGGCCUGACCGCGUUAACCAGACAGCCGAGCCUCCUGGGGGCUUUCCACUCGCUGCUCCGACCUCGGCUACGUGGUGCCUCCCAGCCAGGCGGGCUGGGGCAGGAGUGGGGGCUCCUUUCCCCUGUGUUGGUGGGGGCCGGAGGCAGGUGCUGCCCGGUGGGAGCUGUGGGGUGUGACGCCACCCCAUGCUCUCCAGCUGUGUGCACACGGGCAGAGCCUCUGGACACGUUGCCGGGAACGAGCUGCUACACCCUCCCUUUGCCCGGUCCCCUCAGCAUUUCCGUGGUGUUGGUUUGUGCGGGUGUGUUUGCCGUGGUUGCUUGGCCUUGUGGCCGGGUUUUUCCCAUGGGUAGGUUUGUUGUGGAAAGUGUGGGAGGCGCUGCUGACCCCAAGACCACGUUUUCUACCUGGGUGCAGCCUCGGUCUCCAUGUCACAUGGUCCUGUGAGCAUGCCCCCUCGCCAGGCUGUGGGAUGUGGUUCUUCCACGCUCCCACACGUCCCCAGGCCACAAGCUGGAUUGAUGGGGCCACAUUCCUCCACCUCCUCUCCCCUUCGGCCACCCUCCACAUUCCUUCAGGCCCCCCCUGGCCUUCUGGUGGUCCUUUCUGGACCUCUAAGCACCACAAAUGGUAGCAGUGGCCCAGUGUGCUGUUGUUAGAGGGGCUGACCGUCCAGGUUGCCAGUGGAGCGUGGCUGAGCAGCCCUGGGAAGCACACGUGGGGAGCACAGCCCCCUUCUCUGUGCUGUCCAGGGCUCCUGCCCACCCCACUGUCCAUCGCCUGUGCCCUUCAGUCACCGUUGAUGGUUCACGCAGAGCUAGAGACGCCAGGUUCCUGGAGGGAGGACCAGCUGGACCAAAGGCACAGCCUGGUGCCCUUGGCUUGUAAGCCUGCAGCCUGACCGUGGAGCCCCCCACUCACCGUUGUCUUGAGUAGCACCUUCUGUGAACUGUUGGAAGUCAAGUCUUUCUUGUCUGUGUCCCAGAACUUGUGGGUGGUGGCCCUGCUACGGGAGACAAGGAAACGGGUUAUGAUGUGCCCGUGCUGGCCCAGAGUUCACGGUGGCCCCCACACCCCCAGCAGCCCUGGAUGUGCUGUGGCUCCCUGCUGGACCUGCACUGGUCACCGGAGACCCAAGUGGUUUCCGCAGAGGGAAGCAGCAUUCCGCUGCUGAAUGUCUCCUGCGUGUCCAGUAGGUGAAGAACAAGGAGGACGAUGUUGGCCUAGACGUACCAGAACAUGUUCCUGAUGCCCACGGUUUCCACCACCACCUGCCCCCCACCCCGCGCACCUGCUGGGCCUCGGCCAUUGUCUGCCCACUCACAGCUGUGCCGAGAGCAGGUUCUUGUUGGCCUGAAAGGGGCCAGAGGGGCAGCAGUGUCCGUGCAGAACGUGGACAGGCUCUAAGUGCAGUGCUGGCUGAGGCCUGCUCUGGCCAGGCUGGUGCAGUCGCAGGCGCUCCCAGGUCCUUGGGCAGGUGUUUGGUCCCCCCCCUUUGUUUUUGUUUUUUUUUUGGUUUUUCGUUUUCAUUAAAAUGAUCAUGAAGACAUUCAGUGAGAGGAAAAAUACGCACUGUGAUCUUAAAUUAGAAAUAAUUUGCUAAAAUCAGACAUCAUGAAAGGUUAAGAAAUCCAUUGACACCACCCCCUCCAGGCACAAGGGAGGAGGUUAGACCACAGGGCCGACUUUUGUGCCAUCCCAACACAGCAACGGGAACGCAGCCUUUGUGAUGUUCCUGAAAAUUACCUUCUGAGCUGUUUUUCGCUGGAAUGGUCAAGAACCAAGUUCAAAGCUGGGACUUCAGGUAGCAAGCCUCCCCCUCUGUGGGGACUACUGCAGCUCCGUGGUCAGGAAACCUCAAGGCCCACCACACAUGUCCAAACAAGUCCUUGAUGGACGUCUUCCACUUGACAGAACGUGAAGCUCCGCUGGGGACCAGGGUGCUGGGAGAGGGGCAGGUCUGGAAGGUGGUUGAACCCAGGCUCCUGUAGAAUUUGUAAAAACUAAAUAAAUCAUGACAGUGAUGAUAAUCCUCAA